UACGGAAGGCAGCAGGGGGGAAUAUUGCACAAUGGGCGCAAGCCUGAUGCAGCCAUGCCGCGUGUAUGAAGAAGGCCUUCGGGCUGUAAAGUACUUUCAGUCGUGAGGAAGGUGUUAAGGUUAAUAACCUUAGCAAUUGACGUUAGCGACAGAAGAAGCACCGGCUAACUCCGUGCCAGCAGCCGCGGUAAUACGGAGGGUGCGAGCGUUAAUCGGAAUUACUGGGCGUAAAGGGCACGCAGGCGGUUAAUUAAGUUGGAUGUGAAAUCCCCGGGCUUAACCUGGGAAUGGCAUUCAAGACUGGUUAGCUAGAGUCUUGUAGAGGGGGUAGAAUUCCAUGUGUAGCGGUGAAAUGCGUAGAGAUGUGGAGGAAUACCGGUGGCGAAGGCGGCCCCUGGGACAAAGGACUGACGCUCAUGUGCGAAAGCGUGGGGAGCAAAC
rnacentral:rRNA from 1 species